rnacentral:lncRNA from 1 species
UUUAUUUGAAGUACUUUCGGGUUGAAACUCAUCAUCGGUAAAUGCACACUGGAAGCGCGACAGAGCGGAGAGAGUUCCUGGAUGCACUGGUCGCCUUAAGCUCCACCUACACAGUGAUAAAUUACAUAAUCACUUUCCCUACUGCCAGAAAAAAUAAAUCUGACGCACGUCAUAACAUCUUGUCACACAUUCUCCCGCCAGUUUGUUUUAUUUUGGUUGUUUUAGUUUGUGUGUAUUACUCAUGUUUUGUUACAUUUUUAUAUUAUUAUUACCAUGAUUUUCAUUUUUAUUAUUACUAUUAUUAUUAUUAUUUUUACGGUCCUGUUAUGCUCAUA